AUAAAGGUAAAUAUUCCUGGAAUAAUACGACGAGUACAUAAUUAAUAAUUUCAUCAUCAAAUAUGAUAUUAUUUCUAAAAUUACAAAUGCUUAAACAUCCUUGGAUGAACAUUUUGCUUCAGCAAGGUAAGUGUUGCUUCUGAUUGAACAUCAACAAGUAUGUCCAUGAGUGGCAGGUCCAUGUCCCUCUCCUGGUUGAGCAUCUAACCAAAAAAAGUGAGCCGAGUGUGAGAGGAAAUAGCUACAACAUAUAUCAGUUGACGAAUCGGAAUCUAUACACAUAUGACACAUUCCAAGCUAUUCAUAAUAAUAUACGUUUAACCAUCCUUAUACAAAGAUAGUAAGAAUGGACAAAUAUGACAGUAGUUGAUCCACUAAAUAUAGUGUUGGAUUGACCUAACUCAUUCAAAAGCUUACAACAUCAAGGACGAGCGCAGCUGCGGCUUAAAUGAAGUUAAUGAGGAAUAUAAUUCAAUUAUAAAAGUUCUUCAUGCUACAUCUUUACUAUUAAAGGAGGAUCGAACGUCGUGAUGGUUCGACCUCCUUCGAUCCCCUCCUCCUUUCGAACGAAAACCAUCGCGCGAGGGCCACACGCCUGCAGCAGCCCAAAAAUCGCCAACUCAGCCCACGUACGAGAUACACAUCCGAAAAACACAGUUCGGCCCUUUCCUCCCCUCGUACGAUAGCACGCACGAAAAAAAUCUGGCGAAAACCCACGUCGUCCUCCACCUUCUCCCGACCCAAUCUCCAUCUCCAGAACCAGACCUCUCUCCCAAUCAACUACCUGGCGCCCCUCCCUGGCUCCCUCCCGUGAGUCCGCGACCACCCAACGACGGCCCACCUCUCCCGCAGCAACCACAGCACCGGCCACCCACCCAUCUCCUCCUCCUCUCACUCGCGCCGUAGCACCAUGCGCGCCGCACCUGCCGCGGCAAAGGAGGGCCAGCCGCCGCCACCCCAGAACGUUGUGUAUGAGCAGGCACGGCACCGCCGCCGCCUCCCUAGGUCGCGACCUGUAGCGGUUCGGCUACUCCGGCACAGCCAUCGCGCGAGCCAAGCGAGGAGGACGCUUUGAAUCUGGGACCUGCAGUAUUGAAUAGAGGAAAGUUACAUCUACAGUUGGUCCGCGAGCAUGGCGAGCCGACAACGACGAUGAAAUAAUGCAUUGGCCCAUUGCCUGAUGAAGAAGAUGAGAGAAGUGAAGAUUAUGUACGCUGAAAUAUUACAGAUCAUGUACAUGUAACCCUGUUCAUUUCGAUGCGAUGCACAGGGUAACCAUCCUGCCACCACCAGGGAGCUCUUGGUUGCACUGCAAUCAGCGAGGCCUUGUCAACUCGCUGAUGCCACUUAACCUCUAUGGCCUCUCAUUGCUCAAGAUGGAUAGUUUUGUGCAGGUUUGGCCUCAACCACUUCUUCCUGUCCUACUGCUACAUGGACCAUGACACUCAGUUCUAGCAAAACUAUUGUAAAGUUGCAGGCCAGACCUGUGAAAUCCGAGGCUUGUCACAGGAUGGUGUUCAUGGUCUAUAAGCUUUUGAGAUGUUGUCUUGGCUCCUCCUUUACAAACAACAUUUAUGAUGAUAUGCCUCUAAGGGUUGUAGUUAAGAGUUGAUGUUCCAUGCUAUUCUUUGUUCCUUGUGCUGGUAAUUGAGAGGAGGGAGAGGGAGAGAGAGAUGGAGGGACAUCAAAGAGGAGUGUGGUAACCACAUAGGAAGACACGGUUGUGUUGCAGCCAGUAGAGAGACGUGGUUUGUGUGCAAGUCGAUGCAAACCUGCUGUUGUGAUGGUUGGGGAGCCGAGGUAGCAGCAAGCAGUGCCUUUACGCUGGAUCAUGCAGUCUGGUUGUGGGUGGCCAGAGCCCAUGGACCUGUCUUCCCCACCGGGUGUUUACUUUCCUUCAGUGAAUUGAAAGCAAGAAAAGAAAAACAUGAGGAAUGUUUGUUUGUCCAUGUUGCGCGAUCCUAAUCAUGUUACUUUGUGAAAAAAACAAAACACCAUGUCACUGUAAUGCUUUAAAUAUUUUAUCUUUUAGUUGUUUAUUUUAGAACAAACCUUACUUCAGCAGGGUGUUUGAAGGUGAGACAUCCUUGAUGAUCGCCGUUUUCUUUAGAUCAUUAUCAUCCUAUUUUAAGUGAAUACAUCAGAGUUGUGUUUAACUAUGCUACAUUUUUUCUUUAUGUGACCUAUAUUUUGUUCUGCUUGAAUUUCUAUCAAGGGACGGAGUUUGGUUUCAUGCAUCUUGCAACAAAGCUUCCCGUUGGGCGUCCCGCUUCACAUUUUGCAAAGGUGCUUCCAUGGUUUCUCCAGUCCCUCAAGCGCAGCAUAACCUGCUUGCAUGAGUUUUUCCCUGCUGCUCGCGCUGCCCCUAUGUACAACAACACUGUUCUGAUGAUCUCUCCUGCUGACACUGAUCUCCCAUCUCCUCAUCUUAUGCGCCAUCUCUGUGUUGGUUGAUCAGUGGCACUAGACGUUGAUGCUCACGCCGUUGUCAGAAAUGCACUGAGAGCUACUCAACCUAGUCUAUUAAUGAGUGGAAAAGCCAAGUUAGUGCAUGUUCAAGUUCUCCACUUGCAUUAAUAAGUGGGUGGCAGUUCAAGGUUUUAAUUUCUAUCACACUUUGUGACACUUCCUUCGGAUUUCCUUUGAUGAAUUACCUUUUCACUCUGAGGUGUGACUGGUCACUCACUGUCAGGACCGACAAAGUGCAUACUGAAGAUGACGAGGGGAUGGGCUAGACCAAUGUGUUUUAGACGUCAGAAUCAGAAUCGUGUGGGAGUUGUACAUGUGCUUGCGCGUGUGUGUGAGACCAAUGUGUUUUGGACGUCAGAAUCAUAAUCGUGUGGGAGUUGUACAUGUGCUUGCUUGCGUGCGUGCGUGCGUUGCGGGUGUGUGUGUGUUUAGAGUGUAGAUUCACUCAUUUUGCUCCGCCCGUAGCCCAUAUUGAAAUCUCUAAAAAAGAGUUGUGUUUAGGAACGGAGAGAGUAAUUUUCAAUCCCACCCGCCCUUUCUCAGAACUCUCCUGUUCUUCCCUAUAUACUUCCAAAUUUCUUGUCAUCCUCGUGUGUUCUGAUCCUCCCUAAACAUGAGUUAGCUCAACAGUUGGUAUAAUUAAAAGCUUUAUUUUGGUAUGAA